AACGAACGCUGGCGGCAGGCCUAAAACAUGCAAGUCGAACGCCCCGCAAGGGGAGUGGCGCACGGGUGAGUAACUCGUGGGAACGUGCCCUUCACUACGGGACAACGUCGGGAAACUGACGCUAAUACCGUAUAAUGACUCCGGUCCAAGAGUUAUCGGUGAAGGAGCGGCCCGCGUCUGAUUAGCUAGUUGGGAAGGUAAUGGCCCACCAAGGCUACGAUCAGUAGCAGGUCUGAGAGGAUGAUCUGCCAACCUGGGACUGAGACACGGCCCAGACUCCUACGGGAGGCAGCAGUUAGGAAUAUUGGAAAAUGGGCGAAAGCCUGAUCCAGCCAUGCCGCGUGUGUGAUGAAGGCCCUAGGGUUGUAAAGCACUUUCGUUGAGGAAGAUAAUGACUGUACUCAAAGAAGAAGCACCGGCUAACUUCGUGCCAGCAGCCGCAGUAA
rnacentral:rRNA from 1 species